UAGUUCUCUUUUUAAGAAUUGGUCAUUGAUUUAUUCUUUGCUCUUGUUCUUGUUCAUGUAUCUACAUCAAUUUGGUAUCAGAGCAAAAUUUCGAUCCACUCCGUUGACCAUUAACCCUGUUUCCCAUCUGUUCCUUGCAAAGCUUUAACAUCCAAUCUGUUCCAAGCCUUCAAUAAACAAAGCUAGCCACCCCAAUCCUUCAAACACCCACUACCUUCCUUUAUUUCUUCGAAAUCCCUACUUUACUGUUUAUUAUUUUUUAAAAAAAUUCAAAACUCAAAGAAACAAAAUCUUUGAAAGAAAACAAAGCCAAGUAGUGCCCACAGCCUACCUCCUCCACCAGUUACCAUUCGACCGUUGAACAGGCUUGCCACCACCGCGGCCUGAAGACUAGCGGGCCUACGGCAAGUCUAGACCCACCCUUCCGGCUACCAAAAGCUCAUCGAAACUCCAAAUCCAAACUGGUCAUACUCAACUGGAAUCACAACUUGACGGAAUCCAGCCAUCUG
rnacentral:misc_RNA from 1 species